UACGAAGGGUGCAAGCGUUAUUCGGAAUCAUUGGGCGUAAAGGGUGUGUAGACGGCAUGUUAAGUUCGUUGUUAAAGAUCUCGGCCUAACCGGGAGAGCGCAACGAAAACUAGCAAGCUAGAGGGUGAGAGAGAGAAGUGGAAUUCCCGGAGUAGCGGUAAAAUGCGUGGAUCUCGGGAGGAACACCAAUGGCGAAGGCAGCUUCUUGGCUCAUUUCUGACGUUGAGGCACGAAAGCGUGGGGAGCAAACAGG
rnacentral:rRNA from 1 species